CAAUUAGAUGUUAACGCUGGUAUACAUACAGCGUUACGCUGUAUUUAUAAUAUAUAACGCGCGAAGAUAAAUACAAAUCCUUUCUGUACGGAUUUCGAGUGUGCGGGAGCGAUGCAUGUAGGGAAAUGUAUUUUCAAUUAUACGCCCGCCAGUUCCGCUCUCGUGAGCCCAACGGCAAAGAAAGAAAUGUUAAGCUUGCUGGUAGUUCUACCAUGAGGACUCAAAAUCACGCGCGGCUGGCCACCAAUCACCAAUCACCAGCUACCAAUCACCUGCCUACACCUGCUCUAUAAAGAGUAGUCUAACAUGUUUUUGCUGCUCAGGUCUUCGUUCGACGCAUGCUGCUGCUUUACUGUGCUUCUGAUUAUCUCGCAUUUCUCGUCGCUUAGUUGCUACGUCGGUUAAUACACACCAAGAGGUCAUAACUUUGGAUUCGUGCUGGUCGGCCUACUACUUCUGGUCCGGGCAAGUGAGCGCAGAAAGCCGUUCAUUUCGGUCCCCGGUAUCCUCAACAACACCACCAACAAGUUCCCAACACGGACAUCCGCCUGGUUCUACAAACCCUCGCCGAGUUGGUGCAAAGCAUUGGCGCCAGGAUGGACGCCGUCGAAACACCAUGCGGAACUCCCGGACGGGUCCAGGCCCCCAACCCGCUGUCGUCAGUCGCCACGGCGCCUUUCUACUUCCAGCAACCAUCAGGCUCGGCUUCCUCCGCCUUCACAGGCUACGCACCUGGUCUUCGUUCGACGCACCUCCAUCCACCCCACCACCACCAGGUCGGCCUCAGUCUACUUGUCCAGGGGAAGGCUCCGCCCCUGCUAUUCCUGGCAGGAUACGCCGAGUCCGCACGUCACCCUGGAUCAGUGACGGGGCUCAUGCCAAAGAUUUACCAUGCAAAAUAUUCCCAUGUCGUUAUUUAAAUAAAUCCUGUUCAUACUUAUCGGUGAUCGAGUCUUUAUGGGAGAACUGAACAUAGAUGAACAUUGAACGUAGAUGAUCGCUAG
ensembl:lncRNA